rnacentral:rRNA from 1 species
CUCAACCGAGGGAGCGCGCUGGAAACUGCGGGACUGGAGUAGAGGAGAGGAAGCCAGAAUUCCCAGUGUAGGGGUGAAAUCUGUAGAUAUUGGGAAGAAUACCGAUGGCGAAGGCAGGCUUCUGGCCUCUUACUGACGCUGAGGCGCGAAAGCGUGGGGAGCAAACAGGAUUAGAUACCCUGGUAGUCCACGCCGUAAACGAUGUGCACUAGGUGUUGGGGCGUUAGCCCUGGUGCCGUAGCUAACGUGUUAAGUGCACCGCCUGGGGAGUAUGCUCGCAAGGGUGAAACUCAAAGGAAUUGACGGGGGCCCGCACAAGCGGUGGAGCAUGUGGUUUAAUUCGAUGGUACGCGAGGAACCUUACCAGGGUUUGACAUCAGCCGGAAUGUCUGAGCGAUCAGACAGCCACUUCGGUGGCCG